GUCCACGCCCUAAACGAUGUCUACUAGUUGUUGGUGGAGUAAAAUCCAUGAGUAACGCAGCUAACGCGUGAAGUAGACCGCCUGGGGAGUACGGUCGCAAGAUUAAAACUCAAAGGAAUUGACGGGGGCCCCGCACAAGCGGUGGAUUAUGUGGAUUAAUUCGAUGCAACGCGAAAAACCUUACCUGGCCUUGACAUGCCACUAACGAAGCAGAGAUGCAUUAGGUGCUCGAAAGAGAAAGUGGACACAGGUGCUGCAUGGCUGUCGU
rnacentral:rRNA from 1 species